UUCCUUUGCUGAUCUGUAGCCCAAGGAUGCAAAAAUCCUUCAUCAUCUCAUCACAAACAUCUCUUCUUAUCUGUUGCUGAAGGUGUGACGUCAGGCUGCAGACUACAAGAAUGCUGGUGCAUCAGAUAAUGAGUACAUUAGUCUGGAUUUCAAGGGACCUGUGCUGCAUAGAAGCAAGUGCUGAAGAGUGGUGGAGACACAAAAGAGUAUGGGAAAGUUGUUCAAGUGACAAGCUGCUGAAGUGAUAUUGGCAACUGGCAAGUCUGGUGUGGGAAAGAGAUGAUCAUCACAGACAGCAUCUGAGGAAGGUCUUCAGACAAAGGGUUAAGAGGUCAUGGACUCCCCAUCUGGACCGCAAUUCCCAAAAUGCAUUCUGGACAGUCUCCUGACUGACCCAUGCUGUGCUUCUACCAGAUCCGACUGUGGUGUGCCACUAUUUGGGAAGGUGGGGCAAUAAAGGGAAAUAAAACACAAGGUACCACUGUGUUUCAGAUUCCAAUCGUGAGCUGAUAUUACCAAGGAUUCAGUUUAUCCCUGAAUUGCUACUUUAGCUCUUCGCACAUGAGCACUUCUAUGUUUUCAUUUUUUUCUGCUCUCUAUUUGGAAAUGCACUGCUGAUGUGUUUCAUUUUUAUGUAAUGAGCAACACUUCUCAAAUCUCUGUAUUAUAUCUCUGCAGUUAGCCUCUUCUGCCUGAGCCUCAUCUACCUGAAUUAACGGCAAGCUACUACAAACAUUAAGGGCUUCAAGACCAGCUGUUAUCAUCAAGUCUCCUCUGUCUGUUUUCUUUUCUGGUGGUAACCAUGGCUUGCAGACACAAAAUGAAUCAUUACUUUAAAAACUUUCCUGUUGUUGUCUGUCUUUCCAGGAAUUUCUGUUUUAACAAGGCUUUUGACUGCUAAUUCAGAGACCAAGUGAGAUCUGUGGUCUCUAUGCUGUAUCUAAAUUGAUCUUAUACUUACCGCUGUAAUCACCAGGAUCCUAGUCCACUGAUAGUCCAGACAUGAAACUUUGUGAAACUGCAACAUAAUUCUCUCUUGGUCUUCAACCCCAAAUUUGUUUUAUACGUAAAUGGAUGGGGAGAGAGGUGGGUGUGCUAGGGUGAGGUGGAGAGGGGCUGAUGCUUCAAGGGGGUCUCUGCCUAACACAAGUAUGACACCUCCUUUGUAAUACAGUAUCUAUAGCAAGUUUACAGCUACUUUACACCCCUACUCCACAUGCAAUUUCUGCAUUAUUUCCACAUUGUUUUAAAUGGAAUUUACCUUUCAUAUGAAGGGUUCCGUUCCCCCAGCAUCCCUCCUCCCAGUGCUGGGGUGGCCCUAAAUACAUAAUUUGGACAGGGUCAACUGCUGCAACCCUAUGACAGUCAUUUUAACAGCUGGCUGUGGUCUGCUUUGUUUUUUGGUUUGUUUUUCAUUUUUUUCCCCCACUAUCAGGAAAAUACCUGUUUUAUUUUAUUUUCCCCUUUCUUAUAAAAAUGACACAUUCUUAUAGGUUUCAUCUGCUUAUUUUGUAAUUCUCCUUUAAGAAAGUCUUCUCUUCUCUCUCUGUGAAUCUUGCCUAGUAGGCAUAAGCUUGUUGGAACCAAGGUUUAUUGUUCUACAAUGUCAAAUCAUUCCUUUCUGUCAAUGAACUGCAGACAGA